rnacentral:rRNA from 5 species
UUAUACAACUUUCAACAACGGAUCUCUUGGCUCUCGCAUCGAUGAAGAACGCAGCGAAAUGCGAUAAGUAAUGUGAAUUGCAGAAUUCAGUGAAUCAUCGAAUCUUUGAACGCACCUUGCGCUCCUUGGUAUUCCGAGGAGCAUGCCUGUUU